rnacentral:rRNA from 1 species
AGAGUGAACGCUGGCGGUAGGCCUAACACAUGCAAGUCGAACGGCAGCACAGUGGUAGCAAUACCAUGGGUGGCGAGUGGCGGACGGGUGAGGAAUACAUCGGAAUCUACCUUUUCGUGGGGGAUAACGUAGGGAAACUUACGCUAAUACCGCAUAAGACCUUCGGGUGAAAGCCGGGGACCUUCGGGCCUGGCGCGGAUAGAUGAGCCGAUGUCGGAUUAGCUUGUUGGCGGGGUAAAAGCCCACCAAGGCGACGAUCCGUAGCUGGUCUGAGAGGAUGAUCAGCCACACUGGAACUGAGACACGGUCCAGGACUCCUACGGGAGCAGCAGUGGGAAUAUGGACAAGUGGGCGCAAGCCUGAUCCAGCCAUGCCGCGUGGGUGAAGAAGGCCGUUCGGUUGUAAAGUCCCGUUUUGUUAGGAAAGUAAUCGUACGACCGGUUAAUAACCAGUA